UGGGGAAUAUUGGACAAUGGGCGAAAGCCUGAUCCAGCCAUGCCGCGUGUGUGAAGAAGGUCUUCGGAUUGUAAAGCACUUUAAGUUGGGAGGAAGGGCAGUAAGCGAAUACCUUGCUGUUUUGACGUUACCGACAGAAUAAGCACCGGCUAACUCUGUGCCAGCAGCCGCGGUAAUACAGAGGGUGCAAGCGUUAAUCGGAAUUACUGGGCGUAAAGCGCGCGUAGGUGGUUCGUUAAGUUGAAUGUGAAAGCCCCGGGCUCAACCUGGGAACUGCAUCCAAAACUGGCGAGCUAGAGUAGGGCAGAGGGUGGUGGAAUUCCAGGUGUAGCGGUGAGAUGCGUAGAUAUAGGAAGGAACACCAGUGGCGAAGGCGACCACCUGGGCUCAUACUGACACUGAGGUGCGAAAGCGUGGGGAGCAAACAGG
rnacentral:rRNA from 1 species